rnacentral:misc_RNA from 1 species
UAAAAAAAUAAAAAUAAAAAUAAAUAAAAAUAGAGUCCACUGUUAUAUAUCUCACACAUCCGUAUUCAAGGUCUCUCUCUCAUUUUCUCGCGACCCUAACGGCCUACACUUCACAGAGCGCUUAGACUUGUCUGAUUUUAGGGUUUCUUUCUAAUUUAUUAUCUUCUUCGCGAAACCCUAAUCCUCGGAUCAGGUGAUACUUUUAUCUCCUACGAUCUCUGUUUUUCAUUCCAUUCUGUGCUAGCUAAAAUUCUUUUUUCUGUGUUAAUUUUUUGAAUAUUGGGUUUCCCGUUUGCUAUCAGAUCUUUGUAGCCUGAGUUUUCCGGUUUCAAUUUUUCUUUUUGGCUGGAAAGAUUGGAUUUUUUUUUUAUUCGUACCUUGAUUAUAGUUUCAUGCCUUGUAAGAACUGUUUUGUAAUUGGACUAGUUAAUUAGUAAGGAUUUAGCCCAAAAAAAAUGUUUUGAUAUGGUUUUUUUUGUUUUACAGUAAGUUUUGGUGAUUGUUGUUUUGUUAUAGAUUAUUGUUUGUGGUUAGGUGUGGUUAGCUUUGGAUAUGUGCCAUUGAUAGUAGUGCUAAUAUGCGGUUUUAAUCCUGAGACUGUUUGUAGGACUUUAAGAGGUGAUCAUUUCUCGAGAUUUAAUUAGUGGUUGUGAUAAUUUUUUUCCACUUUGAGUGGUGGCAUACUUUGCUGUCCUUU